AUUGAACGCUGGCGGUAUGCCUAACACAUGCAAGUCGAACGAGGUAGCAAUACCUAGUGGCGGACGGGUGAGGAAUACGUAGGGAUCUGCCCUUAAGUGGGGGAUAACCCGGGGGAAACCCGGAUUAAUACCGCAUGAUCUCGCAAGAGCAAAGAGGGGGACCGCAAGGCCUCUCGCUUUUGGAGGAACCUACGUCGGAUUAGCUAGUUGGUGAGGUAAUGGCUCACCAAGGCGACGAUCCGUAGCUGGUCUGAGAGGAUGAUCAGCCACACUGGGACUGAGACACGGCCCAGACUCCUACGGGAGGCAGCAGUGGGGAAUAUUGGACAAUGGGCGAAAGCCUGAUCCAGCAAUGCCGCGUGAGUGAUGAAGGCCUUAGGG
rnacentral:rRNA from 1 species